rnacentral:lncRNA from 1 species
ACACAAGAACUUCCCACGCUGGAGGAAUGGCAGAUGAAACUUAUGGACUAUAUGGAAUUGGCGGAAAUGACUGGCAGAAUCCGUGACCAGGGAGAAGAGUCGAUGGAGGAAGACUGGAAGAAAUUCAAAGACUAUCUUCAGAAACACUGCAAAAUUAAGGAAUGUUAGAGUGAUGUUGGAUUGAAAAUAAGUGGUUUCCAGCUAUACAGGUUAAAGUUAAGGAUAGAUUAAGAUUAAAGAUCAAGAUUAAAGAUGUUUAAAGAAAUGGAAAUUUGAUAAUAAAAGGGAAAAAUUUAAAGGUAUAUGACAUUAAGAAUAAGGAUUAUGUUUAAAAAAGUUGAAGUUAUAUAUUUUAAUAUUUUAUUAAAUUAAAGAUUGGGUUUAAAAAAGUGGAAAAGAAACUGCUGGACAAAUAAUGUAGAUUGGAAUACAAAAGAGGGAGGUAUGAGGAAGUCCAGAAAAUAAGUAAUUUAAAAUUGGGAAUGGAAAAGAGAGUUUGUUUUUAAUUGUUAUGUUUUGUGUUUUUAUUGUUAAAUUUUGUAUUGUUUUUUUGUGUGUGUUGUUUUUCUUUUUUCUUUGUUUAAAA